rnacentral:rRNA from 1 species
AUGUUCUUGCUAGGGAGGAGCACUCCAGCGGGAAGAGCGGGCUCGCCCUGCGGCUUCACUCCGGGGACUUCAUCCGGGAGGAGCAGGCCCGGCACCAGAGCCACGUGUCCCUCGUUCUCGCCCGCCUGCGCCGCGAAUCGGCCUGGGCCGCCGCAUUGUCGGCGCACGCAUCUCUGGCUGCCGAUGGGAUCUCCCGUGCCGACCUGA